GACGAACCGUGCGAACGUUGUUCGGAAUCACUGGGCUUAAAGGGCGCGUAGGCGGGCCGCCAAGUCAGGGGUGAAAGCCUCCAGCUUAACUGGAGAAGUGCCUCUGAUGCUGGCGGCCUCGAGGGAGAUAGGGGCGUGCGGAACUUCCGGUGGAGCGGUGAAAUGCGUAGAUAUCGGAAGGAACACCGGUGGCGAAAGCGGCGCGCUGGAUCUCUUCUGACGCUGAGGCGCGAAAGCCAGGGGAGCGAACGGG
rnacentral:rRNA from 1 species